AUGCGACACCGUGUCGGGAGGGCCCAGCGCGGGGCGGGGGAGAGGGCGCCCACCUCUAGGUCCAGGAAGACUUCCUCCAGCAGGCUGCUGCAGCCCUCUUUGGCAAUGGCAUCCAAAACCCCAUCCAUGCUCGGCUGGCUCAGAGACACGCCUUCUUCCGCCUCGUGCUUCAGAUACUUCCUUUUUAAGCUGACUAUGGACUCUCUGCAGGAGACAGACAGGGUGGAUGUACUGCUCACAGCAGUGCGGGUGCUGCCGGUCCCGCAGAUGCUCGUCCCUGUACAGCUGCGCCUCCUCCUUGUACCUGCGGAACCGGGCGGUCAGCACGGCCCGGCACGGCCGGCACCACGCCCAGCAGACAGGUCCACCAGACAGUGCCCGCUGAGGUCCAGCACCUCCAGGUGGGCCGCGUGGAUGCAGUUCGCCAAGAAGGUCAUGUCUUCAUGGUUCAGGGCGCAGUUGCCCACGUCCAGCACUCUCAGCGGCGUCCGGAGGGGGCUGCGGACAAGGUGGGAAAUAGCGGCUGAGAGCAGGCCCCGGGUUGCUCUGGAGCCUUGGGGUGAAUCCUGUUUCAGGCACAGCAGACUGCGGCUCAGAGUCGCACCCACCUACCCCGGACUCCACUGCCUGAGAGCAGGACUGUUUUUCAUUUUUAAGCAGUUGAACAAAUCAAAAUGAGAAUAUUUUGCGACAUGUGAAAAUGAUAUGAAAUUCAAGUUUCAGUGCCCGUAAAUCAAGUAUAAUCUGAACACGGCAAGACCUUCCUGUACGUCCUGUCUGCGGCUGCCCAGGUGCAACGAAGGGCUGAGUCACCAGACAGUGUGUAGCCCCCCGCAGUAGAGGCUUGAGUUACCUGAAGACAGGCCUGGCCUUUGUCCUCAGCCACCAAAGUGGUCAGUUUCUUCUGUCAACAGGGCUCUGUGUGUUCACAAGCUUGUGGGGCCAUGAAGUGCCUGUGAAUUGGCAGGAAACGAAACCCUGGCUUGGCUCCGAAUGAAGGGCUGGAGCGCACAGGUUUUUAGGUCAGGGAGGGGUCCAUUCUUAGCUUGCCAGGGAACUGAAGACCCUCCUGUGCUCUGAGUAGGAGUCCUUGCCCCGCUCAGCGGCUCUCACAGACCCACACCCGCCCUGGGGAUUCCUGGCCUGGGUCUGGGGUCACUGGGCUGAGCACCCAGUGCCAGGAUGUGGGGGUCCACUCUCCACCUGCCCGCUGGGGCUCCUCUCCCACCUCACCCUGUAUCUGUACCCUGGGCCCGGAGCUCCUGCGGUCUUCUAGCUGCCGACACAGCCUGCUGUCCACCCACCGCGGCUCUGCCGGCCGUGGCUCAGGCCCUGAGCUGUGUGGAGUGUUUCCACUGCCAUCUCUCUCAUGCCCACAUCCAUCCAUAAGGAGCCCUCUCCCCGCUGCCCUUCCUCAACCCUUAGGGGGCCUCCUGUGUGGAAAAGGGUCAAAGGGCAGGCCUGACUGCCAAUGUGUGUCUGGGAGCUUGGAUUUGGGAAAGGGCCCCCUUCACCUGAAAAGGGGCCCCUGGCCUGAGCUGUCCACACAAGCAAUGUGGUGCCUGCUGACACAGGCCUCCUUCUGGGAUCUGAAAUCUCCGUGCAUGCCAGGCCGAGGUGCCCUCCCAACAAGCCCCCAAUGAAACCCCUGGGCCUGGGUCUCCAAUGUGCUCCCAUGUGUCCGGAAAGGCGGGCCCUGAGCCCACACAGAAACACGACUGCCGUGUGGCGCCGCCCGGGGACCCUCGGGACAGCCCUGCAUUUGUGGUGCCUGGGGAAGUGCACUCACAACCAGAUGACCCAGCACAAGCCCACAGGGCCGUCUUGUUGGCUCCACCCUGACAUCACCUGUCUUCCUGAAGCUCUGCACACUUGGGCUUCAGUCAGCUGGUUGCUGAGGGCCUGUCCAAAGCCCCAGAAGGCGCAGAUGUGCCGUGUGUCAGGGCUAAGUGGGAGGGAGGCAGACAGGUGCGUGCCCGUCAUCACAGCCGUCUGCUGUAAUGCAUCUCAGCAGUGAGUUUUCCCAGGGGGUCACCAACCUGGGGGCCGUGGGAGGCCUGCCCUGCCUGCUGGUCUUCCCGUCUCUCCACCGGGGUCUGCUGUGUGAGCCAAGAGAGCCGGGCCAACCCUCGUCCUGUGGGGCUGACUGUCCCGAGUCGGGCUCAGAGCUCCCAGGGCUUGACCCGGCUCUUCCCUCCCCCCGUUCCUCCCCCCUGCUCCCUUCCUCACCUGUCCUUCAGCCCCCAGCCCAGGCUGCACCCUCGGUGUCUCCCAGAGCCGGCUUCAGCCCCAGCUCAGGCCCUUCACCUUCAGGGUUCCUGCCGGUUCACUCUCCCCUAGCCCUCCACUCACUCAGGGGCCAGGUCUCUGCUCAAAGGUCACCUUGGAAACCGACCUUCCCUGACCACACGGCCGUCUACUCCCUCCCACUUAGGCCUGACACACCGCACACGUGGACCUUCUGGGGCUUUGGACAGGCGCUCAGCGAGUGUGCAGAGCAGAAGGUCAGGGGAGACAGGUGAGGUCAGGGCGGGGCCAAGGAGAUGGCCCUGUGGGUUUGUGCCGGGUCAUCUGGUUGUGAACACGCUUCUCCAGGCACCACAAAUGCAGGACUGUCCCGAGGGUCCCAGGGUGCUGCCACACGGCAGUCGUGUUUGUGUGUGGGUUCAGGGCCAGCCUUUCCUGAGCUGGGCAACUGCCUGGUUGAGGAGCGGGGUGGGGGAUGGGGCGGGGAGCCCAGGAGCCCCAGAGAAUAGAGGCCAUGCAGGCCCUGGCCAGCCACUGCAUAAAGGAAAAAUUCUGGCAAGCCAAGGGCUCCCUAAACCAGAGAAGACAUCCUCACAGUCAUUGGCUCAAGAAACGAGAGGUUAUUUUCCAUAAUUUUUGUAAGUAUAUUCACAGCUGGUGGCCGCCAAGGUGGCGAUCCUUGGUGGUGCCCUCCCCUGGCCUGGUGACUGGCCCUCACCACACCGUGAGCGGCAGCAGCAGCAGCGUCGUACUCUGCCGGGAAGGGGACAGGAGCCAGCGGGCUUCUGGAGGGGCCCAUGGGCCAAGGAGCUGAGGUCUCCUGUGGCUCAGCCGGUGAAGAAUCUGCCCGCAAUGCGGAAGACCCCAGCUUGAUCCCUGGGUGGGGAAGAGCCCCUGGAGACGGGAUAGGCUCCCCACUCCAGUAUUCUUGGGCUUCCCUUGUGGCUCAGCUGGUGAAGAAUCCACUUGCAAUGCAGGAGACCUGGGUUCGAUCCCUCGGUUUGGAAGAUUCCCUGGAGAAGGGAAAGGCUACCCACUCCAGUAUUCCGGCCUGGAGAAUUCCAUGGACUGGAAUCCUAGAAAAUUCCAUAGAGUCCAUGGGUUGCAAAGAGUCGGACACGACUGAGUGACUUGCACUUUUCACUUUUUUUCACUGACAACCAUGGAAAUGAGCCUAAGCCUCAGCACUGGGGUGAUUUGUUACACCAAAAGGUAAUUAAUACACUGUGAUAGAGUUACUUCUAUGUUGCCUGCUUGCUACUCAGGACUCUUGUCUUUUCCUUACCACCUGGAGAGUGUCCUUUGAGGCAUGGGACUCCCAGGUGGCCCCCAACGCCAGUCCCAGCUGGGCUUCCUCCCUCCCCAUGGGUCCGCUCUGGCUGCUCUGGGCUGGGCAAAAUCCACAGGGACCGGGCCUUGUGCCUGGUAAGUCACCAGGUCUGCGCACAGCCCCACGCUGCCCUGACCUGGGCUGAGGGGCUGAGGGCAGAUGCCCCCCACCCCUGCCCCCUCCUUCUGGUCACCCCAGACUCACCCAAGCAGUGUCUGCAGCUUCCCGGUCAGCGUGGAGAAGGCCACGUGCAGCUCCGUGAGCUGCGUCAUCCUGCUGAGCGCCCAGGCGAUGGAGGCGAGCAGGGGCUCCUCGCCGUCAGGGGCAGGGGGGGUGGCGGGGGGGGGGGGGCCUGUGCUGGGCGGCCGGGGGGGUGGU
ensembl:lincRNA